rnacentral:rRNA from 1 species
UACAGGGGGUGCAAACGUUGCUCGGAAUUAUUGGGCGUAAAGCGCGCGUAGGCGGCUACCUAAGUCGGAUGUGAAAGCCCCUGGCUCAACUGGGGAAGUGCACCCGAAACUGAGUGGCUUGAAUACCAAAGAGGGUCGCGGAAUUCCCGGUGUAGAGGUGAAAUUCGUAGAUAUCGGGAGGAACACCAGUGGCGAAGGCGGCUGCCUGGGCCUGGCCUGACGGCUGAGGCGCGAAAGCGUGGGGAGCGAUCCGG